rnacentral:lncRNA from 1 species
AGUGUCCUCUUUGUUCGGUCUCCUCAAGUAUUGGGCACCAAAUAUUUCAUUCACACCCGUUACAAAUCUCUCUAAGCACUCAAUUGCAGUACUUUCACCAAUUCUUACAUACUCAUCCAGAUUGUCAGCAGGUGAUCCGUAUGCCAACAUACGAAUAGCGACGGUGCACUUUUGUAAUGGUGAAAGACCUUUUUUACAAUGGCAUCAACCCUCAUUUGAAAAUAAUUGUCAUGAUUGCCAAGUGCUUCUACAAUUCUUAGAAACAAUUCCCUUCGCAUUUGAAACCUUCGUCGGAAUUGAGUUUCUGUGAAUACAGGGGUUUCAGAAAAGUAGUCGUUGAACAAUCGAUUGU